AGCCAGACUCCUACGGGAGGCAGCAGUCGAGAAUCAUUCGCAAUGGGGGAAACCCUGAUGGUGCGACGCCGCGUGGGGGAAUGAAGGUCUUCGGAUUGUAAACCCCUGUCAUGUGGGAGCAAAUUAAAAAGAUAGUACCACAAGAGGAAGAGACGGCUAACUCUGUGCCAGCAGCCGCGGUAAUACAGAGGUCUCAAGCGUUGUUCGGAAUCACUGGGCGUAAAGCGUGCGUAGGCUGUUUCGUAAGUCGUGUGUGAAAGGCGCGGGCGCAGCCCGCGGACGGCACAUGAUUGUGCGAGACUAGAGUAAUGGAGGGGGAACCAGAAUUCGUGGUGUAGCAGUGAAAUGCGUAGAUAUCGGGAGGA
rnacentral:rRNA from 1 species